rnacentral:rRNA from 1 species
AUUGAACGCUGGCGGAAUGCUUUACACAUGCAAGUCGAGCGGCAGCGCGGGGGCAACCCUGGCGGCGAGCGGCGAACGGGUGAGUAAUACAUCGGAACGUGUCCUUAAGUGGGGGAUAGCUCGGCGAAAGCCGGAUUAAUACCGCAUAAGCUCUGAGGAGGAAAGCGGGGGCUCCGUAAGGACCUCGCGCUGUUGGAGCGGCCGAUGUCGGAUUAGCUAGUUGGUGGGGUAAAGGCCCACCAAGGCGACGAUCCGUAGCUGGUCUGAGAGGACGAUCAGCCACACUGGCACUGCGACACGGGCCAGACUCCUACGGGAGGCAGCAGUAAGGAAUAUUGCGCAAUGGGCGAAAGCCUGACGCAGCGACGCCGCGU